CACGUAGGGGCCAAGCGUUGUCCGGAUUUAUUGGGCGUAAAGAGCUCGUAGGCGGCUCGGUAAGUCGGGUGUGAAAUCUCCAGGCUCAACCUGGAGACGCCACCUGAUACUGCUGUGGCUAGAGUCCGGUAGGGGAGCGUGGAAUUCCUGGUGUAGCGGUGAAAUGCGCAGAUAUCAGGAGGAACACCAGCGGCGAAGGCGGCGCUCUGGGCCGGAACUGACGCUGAGGAGCGAAAGCGUGGGUAGCAAACAGG
rnacentral:rRNA from 1 species